AUCCCGCGCUUCCCCAGGAAACAAUCAGAAUAAUUUCCAACUGGGCAGAAAGGAAAUGGAAUUUCAAAUGAAAGAUGAACAAGGGGGCUUUGAUGGCAAGGCCUCAGGGACGCGCGCGCGCCCUCGCCACCCUUUUCCUUUCCACCCACAGACUCUCAGCACGUUGAGGUGGCGGGCCGGGCGGCAGCUUCUCCCCUCCUUCUCGCCCGCGGGCGGCCGGGGCAGCCUCGCCACCCGGCGCGCGCGGGCCCUUUAAGAGCUACACCAGCCGAGAUGCAGUUUGACAUCAGCCGGCCGGCGAGGGCGCGCCUGGAGCCGGAGCACGUGCCAGGAUGUUUUAUUGCCGCCGCGGCUGCGGUCGGGCCGGGAGGAUGUGUGUGUGCGUGCGUGUGUGAGUGUGUGUGCGCGCGCCCCGGGGGCAGGGAGGCGGGGGGCGGCGGCGGGCGGCGGAGCGCGGGGGCUGGUUCUCGGUCCCCGGGAGAAGCCAAGAAGCCUGCCAGAGCCGAGGUAGCUGCCCUGCCAAGAGCUAUCCUGGGAGAGCUAUUGAAAGAGGCUUGAAGCAGAUGGGCCUGGAGCUUCCCCACCUUCUGGUUUGCACUAGGUUGUGUGCUAAUAUGGCGAUGCGACCAGGGGACUUUGCACCUGCCAAGCAUGGCCGAGAACAUCCAUCUCCCUUGGACAUGUGAAUGCAAAGAAAGCAAGUGCUGUAAUCUGAAAUCCAGGCCAUUGUUUAAUGGCAGAAGGAAGACCCCAAAGGAAGGAGCUUUUUCCCACCCCAAAUACUCGCCCCUCUGGUCUUGAAUUUGACCGUGUUCUUUUAUGGAAAACAACAACAAAACAAAACAAAAGCACACAAAACUUUUUUCUGAAUAGCUCAAAGUCAAGGUUUGCUGUUUGUUAUUUCCUUAAAAAAAUUCAAGAAAGAAAAGAAAAUUGGGUCCCUAGCCUGAAUGUUCUCCUAUGUGCCUAUUUAAUGAUUAAUAAUACCUUGUGGGCUAUUGUUUGAUGUGGCCUCUGCUGGUUUGAACAGGAGAAUACUGAUUCACUCUCAAGGCAUUUAUGAAUCACAAGUGUUUACCCUGAGACAAUAAAUGAAAGGGGGAGAUUGAAAAAAAACACCCAAAUAUGCUGAGUUCUUUGAGCAAAAACUGGGGGUAAUAGUCUUUGAUACCCUGUGUGGUGCCCACUGUUUUCUUUCACAGAAUAAAGAUGGUGUAGAAUGACCAA